CCUUGGGCCUGGCACCAUGGCACCGGCUGCAGCCGGCCUGUCUGUAGAAUCUUCCCAGAGGGCAUCAGAGAGCUCGAGGAUGUGAUGAAGAAAGUACAAAGGCAAGUCACAGAGGGAGUGAGAGGAAACGUUUCAACAUACGUGUCAGAAAAGGGAUAUGAAUUCAGAAUAAAAAGAACUCUGACAGCUCAAUGCCUAAGGCCUCCAAAUAUGCCUGGGACUUUCCAACGUGACCAGCGGCAUAUCCUCACCUGGGAGCUCAUAGAAAUACAGACUCUAGGCCCCCAGCCUCAUGGAGUCAGAAUAAGCAGUGGAAUAAACCCCACUUGUGCAUGGCCAAAUUGGAGAAAUGCUUACUGGAAUCAUUUUCUUCUUUUCUGGAAUCUCUCUUCCAGCCCUCCAUAUCUUCAUUCAUUGUUCUCGCCACCAGCUUCUAACUUGACUUAAAGGCUCUUUGCAAGUUUGCUUCUAUUUCUCUGAGGGAACUUCCCACAUUGCUCUGUCCUUUCUUGAAGAUAUCUGUCUACAUACUUUGCCUCCUUAUGGUUCUCGUCAUCAAACCGUAAGCACAGGGCCUUCCCCUUACUUAUCUCCAGAUCCCACUGCCUAUACCUGCCUUAACUUAAUAAGGAUCUGUUCUAUGAGCAAAUGAAUCAUUUGAUGUCUUUAUCUCCUUUGUUUAUUCUAAGGAUUCAAAGAUGUUUGACACAAUAUUACUUUUUUCGGUCUUAAACUGCAUGCUUCCUAAGGGCAGGACCAUCUGGUCUUCCCAAGGACCUAAACUAAUUUUGUUAUAUAUAGUCAAUGAACACUGAGUUCAGCCCAAGUGCCAGUCUCCAGAUAAAGUGCCUGUCAGGGAAAUAAAUGUCAUUGAAACACAAUUUCUGGAAAUAAACUCACAGUCUUGUGGAGGGGAUAGAGUUUCCCCAUCUUGACAUACUAACAGGUGUCUUCUUCGUGACACCAUCCAAAUCAGUGGAAAACAAUCUAAAUGCCCACUUGCAAGAAUCAAAAAGCCAUGGUAUAAUCAUGCUGUAAAAUUCUCAGCAGUUUUUGAAGAGAAUGAGAUAAACAAAGUUACUGCCUGGGAAAGCUCUCCAGGACAUGAUGAAGAAACAUAAAACAUCUUGCAGAAUAUGUGCCAUUUGAUACCAAUGAUACCUUAAAUAAUAAACUUGUUUAUAUUUAACAUGUGCAAAAGGACUGAAAA